rnacentral:rRNA from 1 species
AACGCAGCGAAGGGCGAUACGUAAUGUGAAUUGCAGAAUUCAGUGAAUCAUCGAAUCUUUGAACGCACAUUGCACUCUAUGGUAUUCCGUAGAGUAUGCCUGUUUCAGUAUCAUGAACACCUCACUACUAUAACUUUUUUUGUUGUAAUAGUGGACUUGGGAUGCGCUGGUGUCAAUCAGCCCUUCUAAAAUGGAGUUCUUGCACUGUUGAUUUGUUUUAACAGCAUGUUGGCCUAAUAGGUUUCGGCAGUAAUGUUGGAAUCACUGGCUUUUUUGCUUAGAAUCUGACAGUCUUGAUAUACAGAAUUUUUGAGGUGACUUGUCUCCUCUUCAAAUUUUGAUCUGAAAUCAGGUAGGAUUACCCGCUGAACUUAA